CCAACUGGGCCAGGUGGGCCUCUAUCUCCUGGACCUCCAGGAGAUCCUUGUUUACCAGGCUCACCCUGGGGGAAGAAAACCAAUUUAAGCAAGCAGAAGACUAUUUUUGACAGUAAACUGGACAAGCCCAUCAGAACAUCCACAUUCGCUAAAAGCAUCUGGCAAGACAAUUAGUUCACAGAUGGGUAUAGACUGAGUUGCAAUCUUCUCUUUUCUACAAGGUAAAGGUAUAAUUUGCCGCUUCCCGAGAAAGAGUGAUUAAUAAAAGCAUCUCCUAUUGA